rnacentral:lncRNA from 13 species
UGUAUUCUAGUCAUAUCUGUCCCCUGCAAACCACUGGAAGGGCAGAAGAAAACAUUUCCUAAAAGUCCAAUAUUAUUAUUAUUAGCUCUAACCUUUGUAAAGGUUUUGUUUUCUCAGUGAUAUUGAUACCUUCUGUGUAAACAGAUUUCUGAUGAUGAUUUAUGUAUUUAAAGAGACAAACUUACCAAAAAACCUUUUAGAAGUGCAUGUCUGAAAUAGAUUUUAAAGUCGACUACUGGAUUUCAGCUAUGACAGUUUCCUAUACCCUUUUCUUAUUCUCUGUCUUUUUCUUUCAGUGUACAUGAAGCGUUUUGUGGUGUCAUCCGUGUAUCAUUGUAUGUGCUGUUUUCAUCAUGGAAAGGGUGUUUAAACGUUCCCAAAUUUGUUAUUGCUGUCCAACUCUUUUAAACCAUAGGGCAGUUCAUGGUCAGAUAGACCUACCUCAGUCAUGUUCCCCUUACAUGUUUAACCCACUGUCAUCAAAGCUAAUUCCUUACCAUGAGACAAACUUUUGAUUUCCUCCCUUUCACUUCAAUAAAUAUUUUUUUUUAUACAAGUUGUGGUUUGUGGUCUUUUUUUGAAUUGCUUACAUAGUCAUCUGAUAGUUGACAGCAUUUUUGAU